UACGAAGGGGGCUAGCGUUAAUCGGAAUUACUGGGCGUAAAGCGCGCGUAGGUGGUUCAGUAAGUUGGAUGUGAAAUCCCCGGGCUCAACCUGGGAACUGCAUCCAAAACUGCUGAGCUAGAGUACGGUAGAGGGUGGUGGAAUUUCCUGUGUAGCGGUGAAAUGCGUAGAUAUAGGAAGGAACACCAGUGGCGAAGGCGACCACCUGGACUGAUACUGACACUGAGGUGCGAAAGCGUGGGGAGCAAACAGG
rnacentral:rRNA from 1 species